rnacentral:lncRNA from 1 species
AAACCUCAGGUUAAUAUUAGCAACGGUCUAAGACAUUUGUCCUUGCAAAGAGCUACACAGAAAAGCCAUCUGCUGGGUCAUGUACCUGUGGGCCUCUGGACACCUCAAACCUUUCUGUCAGGCCUGCGCUGCUGAGGUAGCCACGCCCCUAAACUGCCUCUGGGUUGCUUCGAACAACAAACGACACACCCCGUGAAGCAGCGGCGGUGGCAGGAAAUGGAAAGGAGGGCAGGGAGGGGAAGCUGCUCACUCUAGGAAGAGCUGAUGACAGCAGUUAGCUGGCACCUUCUGGGCUUUCCAGCUGUCUCAGUUUUGCCUCUGCAUACGCGCCCCGCUUCCCAGCCGCGCACCACGCAGGCCCUACGCUAAUUUACGUGAGCAGGGAACGUGCAUUGUUUGCCUUCCUGGUUUCCACUUCCUGUUCUUCAGCACAACUCAGUCCCUCCUGUAGCUUCUCUGUCUGCGGUCUGGAAGGGAGGCGCCCUCUCCAACCCCAAGGAUGUGCAGCUGGCUCCAUCCUUAGUCGAAGGGUGCAUCUCAUUGCUUCGGCCACAAGGACAAGAUGACACAAAACCACGUCUGUCUGGCUACUGUGACCCCAAACCUUAUCUAAGAAUGUGGCCAGCCCAGAAGAGGCUGGUGUAGACAGCAGAGGAGGGGAAAUCAUUUCCUGGUGACAUCUUUUAGUCCCCAGC